AAGCCAGUAAAUAAAUCUGCUUACUUACUUGAAUGUGUUGGCAAGAAUUUAGAAAUAGCUGGCAAUAGUAAAGUCAUGUUAUGAGCCUUUACAGCAUUGAGGUUAUUAAGGUCCCUGAAAGUGGCUACAUAA